rnacentral:rRNA from 1 species
UACAGAGGUCUCGAGCGUUGUUCGGAUUUACUGGGCGUAAAGGGCGCGUAGGCGGCCUCCGCAAGUCAGUUGUGAAAUCUCCGAGCUUAACUCGGAAAGGUCAACUGAUACUGCGGGGCUAGAGUGCGGAAGGGGCAACUGGAAUUCUUGGUGUAGCGGUGAAAUGCGUAGAUAUCAAGAGGAACACCUGCGGCGAAGGCGGGUUGCUGGGCCGACACUGACGCUGAGGCGCGAAAGCUAGGGGAGCGAACGGG